rnacentral:rRNA from 1 species
GAGCCAGUACAGGAGGGACCCGCGUCUGAUUAGCUUGUUGGUAAGGUAACGGCUUACACAGGCGACGAUCAGUAGCCGACCUGGGAGGGUGAUCGGCCACAUAGGAACUGAGACACGGUCCAACCUCCUACGGGAGGCAGCAGUGGGGAAUAUUGCACAAUGGGCGAAAGCCUGAUGCAGCAACGCCGCGGGAGUGAUGAAGGCCUUCGGGUCGUAAAACUCUGUCCUCAAGGCAGAUAAUGACGGUACUUGAGGAGGAAGCCCCGGCUCACUACGUGCCAGCAGCCGCGGUAAUCCGUAGGGUGCUAGCGUUAUCCGGAUUUACUGGGCGAGAAGGGUGCGUGGGCCGGCGUCCAAGUCGGGAGUGAUAGGCUACGGCUGAACCUUAGUUAGCCUUUGAACCUGGGAGACUUGAGUGCAGGAGCGGAGACUGGGCUUCAUA